CGGUAGUCCAGUGGUUAGCAUGUCGGCUUCACAGUGCAGAGGUACCGGGUUCGAUUCCAGCUCCGGCCUCCCUGUGUGGAGUUUGCAUGUUCUCCCCGGGCCUGCGUGGGUUUUCUCCGGGUGCUCCGGUUUCCUCCCACAUUCCAAAAACAUGCGUGGCAGGCUGAUUGAACACUCGAAAUUGUCCCUAGGUGUGAGUGUGAGUGCGAAUGGUUGUUCGUCUAUGUGUGCCCUGUGAUUGGCUGGCAACCGAUUCAGGGUGUCCCCCGCCUACUGCCUGGAGACAGCUGGGAUAGGCUCCAGCACCCCCCGCGACCCUAGUGAGGAUCAAGCGGCUCGGAAGAUGAAUGAAUGAAUGAAUGAAUGAAGAGAAUCACAUUUGACAUCUUCCGCUAUGGAAACCGAGAACAUCUGCAGAAAAUGAAAUUCUCUGGACCGAAUCAUUUAAAAAAAAAAAACAUUUAAAAAUACACGGCGGCGUUCUAUGAAAAGGACGAUCAUUUUUUUUCUCUCUCUCUCUCUACGUGUGAACAUAAUGAAUUUCUCUUUUUUUUUUUGCCUCGGGUGUUUGACUCUACUGUGAAACUCGACUCCAUCCAAAUUAAUUUGAGCACAAUCUUUCAUGUUGAGCACGUCAUUAAAUGCCCUGAAAACAUCCACUCUAGGCAUGCAAAGCCUGUGUUAGAUCCCUCCGUGUUCAUUCAUUCAUUCAUUCAUUCAUUCAUUCAUUCAUUCAUUCAUUCAUCUUCCGAGCCGCUAGAUCCUCACUAGGGUCGCGGGGGCUGCUGGAGUGUUCAAUUAAUAGAAAAUUGGAUGACUAUUCAAUCAGGCCGAGUGACUUCUUUUUGGCCCUCUCCUUGGCGUUUUUUUUUUUUUGCAUCCAAAUUCCCGUAAGUGACGCUCCAAAUGGUCUUGCCGGACAAACGGCUCGUUGAGCAUGCGCCGUGUUUGGGUCCUCAGUUCGAGGAGGCCCCCAAGAGACAUUGGGCAAAAUGAAUGAUGAAACAACAGUGGUGUUAAUCGUUUGUUGUUCUUCGACGGGGGGGGGGGGGGGGGGGGGGGUCCACAUUUUUUUCGUUCGAGGGCCGCAUAGAGAAAAAAUGG